rnacentral:rRNA from 1 species
UAGCGGCGAGCGAAACGGGAAGAGCCCAGCGCUGAAUCCUGCGGCCCAGGCGGGCCGCCGGGAAAUGUAGCGUUAGGGAGGAGAGUAAUAUAUACACGCGCGGUCAUUAGUCACGGCUGCCUGUCCAAGUUCAUCUUGAACGGGGCCCGCUUACCCGCAGAGGGUGCCAGGCCCGUAGUGACGGUAGCCGGCCGCGACGGUCUCUCUCCCCAGAGUCGGGUUGCUUGAGAGUGCAGCCCUAAGUGGGUGGUAAACUCCAUCUAAGGCUAAAUACUACCACGAGACCGAUAGCGAACAAGUACCGUGAGGGAAAGUUGAAAAGAACUUUGAAGAGAGAGUUAAAGAGUACGUGAAACCGUUCAGGGGUAAACCUGUGGAACUCAAACGAGCGAACGGGGAGAUCAUCGUGUCUUCCGUCGGGGCCCGCGUCCCGGUGCACACCUCCGCCCUCGGCACUCGUGUCGGGGCGGGGGGUGUCCGGGUGCGCAGCCGGGCCCCCGGAGCGCGUGCACUUCUCCCUUAGUAUAACACCGCGACCCGUCGCGCCCCGGUCGAAUGCGCCGUGCGGUUGACCCGUCUCGCUUUGCGGGGCGGAGCCGCGGCGUCCACGACCGAGGCUAUAUGUAUAUAAGCGACGGUAGAGAACGAGGAUCGCGUCCGCCCCAUUCUGAGGGCGUCCGUCGCGUCACAGCGGCUUCCUUCUCGUGGUCCCCGGCGUCUAGUGCGUCGCGGGUGUCGCGUUUCGGAUGUCCGUGGUUAGUGGCGCGCUCUCGGACGGGACGCGUCCCGGUCGGCGGUGGUUUUGUUUUGGGCACUCACAGGACCCGUCUUGAAACACGGACCAAGGAGUCUAGCAUGUGCGCGAGUCAUUGGGAACACUUAUAAACCCAGAGGCGAAAUGAAAGUGAAAGGUCGGCCUCGAGCCGGCCGCAGGGAAGAUGCGCGGACGUCGUCAGACGUCCCGCCGCAUUCCCGAGGCGUUUCGAGAAAGCCCCCGUGCGAUUAUCGAGACGCACUGAGAGCGUACACGCUGGGACCCGAAAGAUGGUGAACUAUGCCUGGUCAGGUCGAAGUCAGGGGAAACCCUGAUGGAGGACCGAAGCGAUUCUGACGUGCAAAUCGAUCGUCCGAACUGGGUAUAGGGGCGAAAGACUAAUCGAACUAUCUAAUAGCUGGUUCCAUCCGAAGUUUCCCUCAGGAUAGCUGGCGCUCGAGAAACAUGACCCCCCGGCUCGCCGGGGGAGUCAUUCUGACAGUCUCAUCCGGUAAAGCGAAUGAUUAGAGGCAUUGGGGUCGAAAUGACCUCAACCUAUUCUCAAACUUUAAAUGGGUGAGAUCUCCUUCUUGCUCGAAGAUGAAGUAGGAGCUCGGAUGGGAGUGCCAAGUGGGCCAAUUUUGGUAAGCAGAACUGGCGCUGUGGGAUGAACCAAACGUCGAGUUAAGGCGCCCAAUGAACGCUCAUCGGAGACCAUAAAAGGCGUUGGUCGCUCAGGACAGCAGGACGGUGGCCAUGGAAGUCGGAAUCCGCUAAGGAGUGUGUAACAACUCACCUGCCGAAGCAACCAGCCCUGAAAAUGGAUGGCGCUGUAGCGUUCAGCCUAUACUCGACCGUCGCAGGCAAGUGGGACGUUCGCGCGGCACCCGUGUCGAGCGAUCGUUUUGAAGCCGCGACGAGUAGGAUGGCCGCGGCGGUGUGCGCAGAAGGGUCUGGGCGUGAGCCCGCCUGGAGCCUCCGUCGGCGCAGAUCUUGGUGGUAGUAGCAAAUACUCAAGCGAGGNNNNNNNNNNNNNNNNNNNNNNNNNNNNNNNNNNNNNNNNNNNNNNNNNNNNNNNNNNNNNNNNNNNNNNNNNNNNNNNNNNNNNNNNNNNNNNNNNNNNGUAGGUAAGGGAAGUCGGCAAGUUGGAUCCGUAACUUCGGGAUAAGGAUUGGCUCUGAGGGCCGUGGCGUGUCGGGCCUGGUCGGGAAGAGGUCAUCGGCCGAGACGUGGAAGCCGGGCGGGGUCUCCCCGCGUGGCGCCUUAACGGGUGUCGCGCGGGUGUGGAUCUCCGUCACCCGGCGCCUCGCCUUGGCCUCCCCUCGGAUCUUCCUCGCUGUGUGGCGCCGGCGUGUUCGCGCACGCUCGGCGACCUGUACGGCCGCCGGACGACGGUCAACUCAGAACUGGCACGGACAAGGGGAAUCCGACUGUCUAAUUAAAACAAAGCAUUGCGAUGGCCCUCGCGGGUGUUGACGCAAUGUGAUUUCUGCCCAGUGCUCUGAAUGUCAAUGUGAAGAAAUUCAAUUAAGCGCGGGUAAACGGCGGGAGUAACUAUGACUCUCUUAAGGUAGCCAAAUGCCUCGUCAUCUAAUUAGUGACGCGCAUGAAUGGAUUAACGAGAUUCCCAUCUGUCCCUAUCUACUAUCUAGCGAAACCACUGCCAAGGGAACGGGCUUGGGAGAAUCAGCGGGGAAAGAAGACCCUGUUGAGCUUGACUCUAGUCUGGUAUUGUAAGGUGACAUGAGGGGUGCAGAAUAAGUGGGAGGCGGGUGCAAAUCCUCCAAACGUGAAAUACCACUACUUUCAUCGUUUCGUUACUUACUCAGUUGGGCGGANGGCGUGCGCCGGCGUUAAUGCCGCGCGUCACGGGUUUUUCGCGCCAAACGUGUACGGGGCGGCGAGCCGCG